AACGAACGCUGGCGGCGUGUUUAAGACAUGCAAGUCGCACGGUGUCAUUUUGGUAGCAAUACUUGGAUGGCACAGUGGCGCACGGGUGAGUAACACGUGAAUGACAUGCCCUUCAGAGGGGGAUAGCCCAGGGAAACUUGGAUUAAUACCCCAUGGUCUCGCGAGAGUAAAGGCGGCCGCAAGGCUGUCGCUGGAGGAUUGGUUCGCGUUCUAUCAGCUUGUUGGCGGGGUAACGGCCCACCAAGGCUACGACGGAUACCUGGUCUGAGAGGACGAUCAGGCACCCUGGAACUGAGACACGGUCCAGACACCUACGGGUGGCAGCAGUCGAGAAUAAUUCACAAUGGGGGCAAUCCUGAUGGUGCAACGCCGCGUGGAGGAUGAAGGUCUUCGGAUUGUAAACUCCUGUCAUCCGGGAGUAAGACCUGGCCGUUAAUAGCGGACAGGGUUGAUAGUACCGGAAGAGGAAGGGACGGCUAACUUCGUGCCAGCAGCCGCCGUAA
rnacentral:rRNA from 1 species